rnacentral:rRNA from 1 species
GAUUAAAUACCCUGGUAGUCCACGCCGUAAACGAUAAAUAUUAGGUGUGGGGGUCAAAGACAUUCGGUGCCGCAGCAAACGCAAUAAGUAUUCCACCUGGGGAGUACGUUCGCAAGAAUGAAACUCAAAAGGAAUUGACGGGGACCCGCACAAGCGGUGGAGCAUGUGGUUUAAUUCGAAGCAACGCGAAGACCCUUACCAAGUCUUGACAUCCCGAUGAAACAUCCUUAACCGGAUGCCCUCUUCGGAGCAUUGGAGACAGGUGGUGCAUGGUUGUCGUCAGCUCGUGUCGUGAGAUGUUGGGUUAAGUCCCGCAACGAGCGCAACCCUUAUCCUUAGUAGCCAGCGGUCCGGCCGGGCACUCUAGGGAGACUGCCAGGGACAGCCUGGAGGAAGGUGGGGAUGACGUCAAAUCAUCAUGCCCCUUAUGAUUUGGGCUACACACGUGCUACAAUGGCGUAAACAAAGGGAAGCGAAAGUGUGAGCUGGAGCGAAUCCCAAAAAUAACGUCUCAGUUCGGACUGCAGUCUGCAACUCGACUGCACGAAGCUGGAAUCGCUAGUAAUCGCGAAUCAGAAUGUCGCGGUGAAUACGUUCCCGGGUCUUGUACACACCGCCCGUCACACCAUGGGAGUCGGAAAUGCCCGAAGUCAGUGACCCAACCUAAGGGAGGGAGCUGCCGAAGGUGGAGCCGAUAACUG